GCCCUUUGGGGGAAAAAUUUUUCCGCCAGAGGAUCGGCCCCCUUUUGAUUAAGUAGUUGGGGGGGGAACGGCCUCCCAAGCCUACCAUCAGUAGCUGGGUUUGGAGGAUGAUCCGCCCCCCUGGGGUGUGAAACACGGCCCCUACUCCUACGGGAGGGAGGAGUGGGGAAUUUUUCACUAUGGGGGCAAGCCUGAUCCAAACAUGUCGCGUGGGGGAAGAACGCCCUAGGGUUGUAAAGCUCUUUUCCCCGGGAAGAAUAUGACCGUACCGGGAGAAAAAACCUCGGCUAACUUCGUGGCAGCAGUCGCGGUAAUACGGAGGGGAGGAGCGUUCUUCGGAAUUACUUGGCGUAAAGCGCGCGCAGGCGGAUAUUCAAGUUUGUCGUGACAUCACGGGGCUCAACCCUCCAACUGCCUCGAAAACUGGUGAUCUUGAGUUCGAGAGAGGUGAGGGGAAUUCCCAGUGUAGAGGUGAAAUUCGUAGAUAUUCGGAGGAACACCAGUGGCGAAGGCGGCUCACUGGCUCGU
rnacentral:rRNA from 1 species